AGAACGAACGCUGGCGGCAGGCUUAACACAUGCAAGUCGAACGCUCGUAGCAAUACGGGAGUGGCAGACGGGUGAGUAACACGUGGGAACAUACCCUUUGGUACGGAACAACUCGGGGAAACUCGAGCUAAUACCGUAUACGGCCGUGAGGCGAAAGAUUGAUCGCCGAAGGAUUGGCCCGCGUCCGAUUAGCUAGUUGGUGAGGUAAUGGCUCACCAAGGCGACGAUCGGUAGCUGGUCUGAGAGGAUGGCCAGCCACAUUGGGACUGAGACACGGCCCAAACUCCUACGGGAGGCAGCAGUGGGGAAUAUUGGACAAUGGGCGCAAGCCUGAUCCAGCCAUGCCGCGUGAGUGAUGAAGGCCUUAGGGUUGUAAAGCUCUUUCGUCAGGGACGAUAAUGACGGUACCUGAAGAAGAAGCCCGGCUAACUUCGCGCCAGCAGCCGC
rnacentral:rRNA from 1 species